UGGCUCAGAAUGAACGCUGGCGGCGUGCUUAACACAUGCAAGUCGAACGAGAAAGCGAAUUUCGGUUCGUGAGUAGAGGUGGCGCACGGGUGAGUAACACGUAGAUAAUCUACCUUCAAGCCUGGAAUAACUAUUCGAAAGGGUAGCUAAUACCAGAUAAAGUUUUAUCACAUAAGUGAUAUUAUGAAAGAUUGCCUCUUCUUGAAAGCAAUCGUUUGGAGAUGAGUCUGCGGACCAUUAGCUUGUUGGUGGGGUAAAGGCCUACCAAGGCUGCGAUGGUUAGCUGGUCUGAGAGGAUGAUCAGCCACACUGGAACUGACACACGGUCCAGACUCCUACGGGAGGCAGCAGUGAGGAAUUUUGCGCAAUGGGGGAAACCCUGACGCAGCAACGCCGCGUGAGUGAAGAAGGCCCUUGGGUCGUAAAGCUCUGUCGACAGGGAAGAAAUUAACAUCAUCCAAUAGGUGUUGUUAUUGACGGUACCUGUAGAGGAAGCACCGGCUAACUCCGUGCCAGCAGCCGCGGUAACACGGGGGGUGCAAGCGUUAUUCGGAAUUAUUGGGCGUAAAGGGCGCGUAGGCGGUCUUGUCGGUCAGAUGUGAAAGCCCGGGGCUCAACCCUGGAAGUGCAUUUGAAACAGCAAGACUUGAGUACUGGAGAGGAGAGCGGAAUUCCUGGUGUAGAGGUGAAAUUCGUAGAUAUCAGGAGGAACACCGAUGGCGAAGGCAGCUCUCUGGACAGAUACUGACGCUGAGGCGCGAAGGCGUGGGUAGCGAACAGGAUUAGAUACCCUGGUAGUCCACGCAGUAAACGUUGUCAACUAGGUGUAGGAGGUAUCGACCCCUGUUCUGCCUAAGCUAACGCAUUAAGUGAACCGCCUGGGGAGUACGGUCGCAAGACUAAAACUCAAAGGAAUUGACGGGGGCCCGCACAAGCGGUGGAGCAUGUGGUUUAAUUCGACGCAACGCGAAGAACCUUACCUGGGUUUGACAUCCUGUGAAUUUGUAAGAGAUUUUAGUGCCCUUCGGGGAACCCAGUGACAGGUGCUGCAUGGCUGUCGUCAGCUCGUGUCGUGAGAUGCUUGGUUAAGUCCAGCAACGAGCGCAACCCUUACCGUUCGUUACGAUCAUUUAGUUCGGGAACUCUAGAGAGACUGCCGGUGAUAAACCGGAGGAAGGUGGGGAUGACGUCAAGUCCUCAUGGCCCUUAUGUCCAGGGCUACACACGUGCUACAAUGGUAUGUACAGAGGGUCGCAAGCUCGCGAGGGUUAGCUAAUCCCUUAAAGCAUAUCUCAGUUCGGAUAGGAGUCUGCAACUCGACUCCUUGAAGUUGGAAUCGCUAGUAAUCGCGGAUCAGCAUGCCGCGGUGAAUACGUUCCCGGGCCUUGUACACACCGCCCGUCACACCACGAGAGUUGAUUGUACCAGAAGUCGUUGGGCUAACCCCUCGGGGAGGCAGGCGCCUAAGGUAAGGUUGAUAAUUGGG
rnacentral:rRNA from 1 species